GCGGGGUUAGCUCAGUUGGUAGAGCAACGGAUUGUGAUUCCGUGGGUCGUGGGUUCGAGCCCCAUACCUCGCCCCA
rnacentral:tRNA from 2 species